GUGUGUGUGUGUGUGUGUCCGUGUGUGUGUGUGUGUGUGUCCCCAGUGUGUGUGUGUGUGUCCCCAGUGUGUGUGUGUGUCCCCGUGUGUGUGUGUGUCCGGUGUGUGUGUGUCUAGUGUGUGUGUGUCUGUUGUGUGUGUGUCUGGUGCGUGUGUGUCCAGUGAGUGUGUGUGUCCGGUGUGUGUGUGUCCGGUGUGUGUGUGUGUGUGGUGUGUGUCCCCUGUGUGUGUGUCUGGUGUGUGUGUGUGUGUGUGUCCGGUGUGUGUGUGUCCGGUGUGUGUGUGUCCAGUGUGUGUGUGUGUGUGUGUGUGUCCGGUGUGUGUGUGUCCGGUGUGUGUGUGCCCGGUGUGUGUGUGUCUCCGGUGUGUGUGUGUCCGGUGUGUGUGUGCCCGGUGUGUGUGUCCUGUGUGUGUGUGUCCGGUGUGUGUGUGUGUGUGUCCGUGUGUGUGUGCCCGGUGUGUGUGAGCCCGGUGUGUGUGUGUGUCCUGUGUGUGUGUGCCCGGUGUGUGUCCUGUGUGUGUGUGUCCGGUGUGUGUGUGUCCCGAGCCAAUUCCAACAUUUGGAAGCAUUCUUCCAGUCUCCGUCACCUUAAUCUGGAGCUGGAAGCUCAAUCUGCUAUGACAGCGUCUCUGCAUCACAAUACAUUCCAGCAGGUCUCCCCAGUCACAUGGAUCAUUUCAUCCUGACACAGAAGGACAAAUAAAUGCUUUUUAAAUUUUUUUUAUUUUUUACAGGCUCUUUAUUUGCACGUUAGAAAUAAAUCCUUUUUCAUUUGCGCCUUAGAAGUAUAAACACUUCUUUAAAGAUGCACAUGUUAAAACAUGUUACUGUCUUAACCUUGCCAGACAAUUAUCA
ensembl:lncRNA